rnacentral:rRNA from 1 species
GACGAACGCUGGCGGCGCGCUUAACACAUGCAAGUCGAACGGUAAGGCACUUCGGGGUACACGAGUGGCGAACGGGUGAGUAACACGUGGGUGAUCUGCCCUGCACUUCGGGAUAAGCCUGGGAAACUGGGUCUAAUACCGGAUAGGACCACUGCCUGCUUGGGUGGGGGUGGAAAGCUUUUGCGGUGUGGGAUGGGCCGGCGGCCUAUCAGCUUGUUGGUGGGGUGAUGGCCUACCAAGGCGACGACGGGUAGCCGGCCUGAGAGGGUGACCGGCCACACUGGGACUGAGAUACGGCCCAGACUCCUACGGGAGGCAGCAGGGGGGAAUGUUGCACAAUGGGCGCAAGCCUGAUGCAGCGACGCCGCGUGAGGGAUGACGGCCUUCGGGUUGUAAACCUCUUUCAGCACCGACGAAGCGCAAGUGACGGUAGGUGCAGAAGAAGGACCGGCCAACUACGUGCCAGCCGCCGCGGUAACAC